GGUGUGUAGAAAUACAGCUAAACCUAGGGUGUGGCUAAACGGGAUGUGUAAUAAUACAUGUGGGGGUCUGGAAGAGAGUUGAGUUUUGUACUAGACUGGUGGGGGUCAGGGAGAGAGUUGAGUUAUGUUGUAGUCUGGUGGGGGUCAGGGAGACGGUUGAGUUAUGUGCUAGACUGGUGGGGGUCAGGGAGAGAGUUGAGUUAUGUACUAGACUGGUGGGGGUCAGGGAGAGAGUUGAGUUAUGUACUAGACUGGUGGGGGUCAGGGAGAGAGUUUAGUUAUAUACUAGACUGGUGGAGGUCAGGGAGAGAGUUGAGUUAUGUACAAGACUGGUGGGGGUCAGGGAGAGAGUUGAGUUAUGUACAAGACCGGUGGGGGUCAGGGAGAGAGUUGAGUUAUGUACAAGACUGGUGGGGGUCAGGGAGAGAGUUGAGUUAUGUACUAGACUGGUGAAGAUCUGGCAUCCAGGCGGCCCUGGCAGCAGCAGUGGGUUCUGGGUAAAAUCACUGGGGAAGCCAAUCCAGAAACAAAAGCCAUAUUACAACCUAUGUGUUGUGAUAAUUGCGUUGUUUGCUCUGUAACCUGUUAGUUUAUAUUCCUUGACACUGUGAUAAAAAAGCCUAAAACCGAGAUUAUAAGAAGACACACUUUCACGUCCUGAC
rnacentral:lncRNA from 1 species